CCGAGCCGGGGCGGGAGUCUGAGGAGGCCAGGCGGGCAGGGCAGGCGGGGGCUAGAGGACUGAGUGCAGUGGAGAGGCGGACGUGCUGGCGUUGCGGCCGAGCAUCCCUGGGAGCUGUGCACCUCUCAUGUUUGCAGAUUGCAGGAAAGAUGAGGAUUUGUGUCUCUCGGCGUGUUCAUCUCCUUCAUAUAUGCUCAUAGCUUGACUAUAAUAUUCAUAUUCUUUCUCUCUUCACUCCCCUCCCCCUCCCUCUUUGUCUCUUCACCCUGGGUUUUGUCUGCUUCUCUGUUUUCCUCUCCUCUCCUCGGAUGUUGGAAAGAAAAAGGAAAGGAGAAGGCGCCCCCGAGGUGGUCAUUCUUCCGGCUCUUGGCCGGUGAGUCUUCACCUCAGCUGAGAACCGCGGCGGCCAUCCUCCCGGACCGUCACCUCCACCCUCCUUCCCCGGCAAACGCAGCACAUAUUCUCCCAGAGCAGGGCCCUCGGCCCGGUUCGGUUCGCUCUUGUCUGAUGCUUGUUUAUCAAAUGGGGUCUGUGUCGCAGGGAAUGAACCGGGGAGAGGGCUGGACGAAUUUGGUCACCCCUCACUCCAUGCUGUUGGAGAAUUUAGCUCCCUGUAAAUAAACUAUGCUGGAGAAGAGAGGGUGGAACGGCCGCCGUGGAGCAGCGCCAUGCCAGGAGAGCCCCAGCCCUGCGGGAGCUGUGAGCGGGGCGCGCAGCCCCCGUAGGGGUGGCCGGCAGCUGGAGCCUGCGCCGGUGUGCGGGGCACCCUGGCCUUCCCGCGGGGUCUCAGGCCCGGGGACUGCCCGCUACUCUCGGGCAGUGCUGGCGACGGCCUGUGCCAGUGCCGGGAAGCGGGAGGCCGGCCUGGCGGGGGCUGACAUUAAAUUCAGCUUCCAGACUAAGAUGCCGGGAGGACAGAGGGGGACUCCUCCGCGCUCCGUUCUGUGGCUCUUACUUAAGGUCACCAGCAGGAAGAAGCAAAAUCACCCCGCUGAACAAGUUGGGUUUUUUGUUUGUUUUUGUUUUGUUUUGUUUUGUUUUAUCACAGAUUGGGAGUGGCGGGGACUGGCUCCUGAAUUUACAAUAUUUGGAAGAGUACACCUGCCUUCUGAAGACAAACGUGCUCUUCACUAA
rnacentral:lncRNA from 1 species